rnacentral:rRNA from 1 species
UAGGGAAUCUUCGGCAAUGGACGAAAGUCUGACCGAGCAACGCCGCGUGAGUGAAGAAGGUUUUCGGAUCGUAAAACUCUGUUGUUAGAGAAGAACAAGGACGUUAGUAACUGAACGUCCCCUGACGGUAUCUAACCAGAAAGCCACGGCUAACUACGUGCCAGCAGCCGCGGUAAUACGUAGGUGGCAAGCGUUGUCCGGAUUUAUUGGGCGUAAAGCGAGCGCAGGCGGUUUCUUAAGUCUGAUGUGAAAGCCCCCGGCUCAACCGGGGAGGGUCAUUGGAAACUGGGAGACUUGAGUGCAGAAGAUGAGAGUGGAAUUCCAUGUGUAGCGGUAAAAUGCGUAGAUAUAUGGAGGAACACCAGUGGCGAAGGCGGCUCUCUGGUCUGUAACUGACGCUGAGGCUCGAAAGCGUGGGGAGCAAACAGG